rnacentral:rRNA from 1 species
GCUACAAUGGGCGGUACAAAGGGUCGCGAACCCGCGAGGGGGAGCCAAUCCCAAAAAGCCGCUCUCAGUUCGGAUUGCAGGCUGCAACUCGCCUGCAUGAAGCCGGAAUCGCUAGUAAUCGCGGAUCAGCACGCCGCGGUGAAUACGUUCCCGGGCCUU